AUCCCAUGAUGAGGAUAGGCGAGAAUGUACUCUUGCAGUCUCUUCCAAGCUUCUAGGAUGGAUUCCAUCCCUAUCUGCUGGAAGCUUGAUAUUUUCCUGUGCAA